GACGAACGCUGGCGGCGUGCCUAACACAUGCAAGUCGAGCGGAGACAGUGAGUAGCUUGCUAUGAGCUGUUUUAGCGGCGGACGGGUGAGUAACGCGUGAGCAACCUUUCCCAGACAGGGGAAUAACACACCGAAAGGUGUACUAAUACCGCAUAAGACCACGGGAUCACAUGGUUCUGGGGUAAAAGAUUUAUCGGACAAGGAUGAGCUCGCGUCCCAUUAGGUAGUUGGUGAGGUAACGGCCCACCAAGCCGACGAUGGGUAGCCGACCUGAGAGGGUGAUCGGCCACAUUGGAACUGAGAGACGGUCCAGACUCCUACGGGAGGCAGCAGUGGGGAAUAUUGGGCAAUGGAGGGAACUCUGACCCAGCAACGCCGCGUGAAUGAUGAAGGUCUUCGGAUUGUAAAGUUCUGUGACGGGGGACGAAGAAAGUGACGGUACCCCGAAAGCAAGCUACGGCUAACUACGUG
rnacentral:rRNA from 1 species